rnacentral:piRNA from 1 species
UGGCUGUAGAUGGAAUGGAGUAACUGCU